GGAGGAGCUGCUGCGCUCGCACGCGAGCAAGUGUGUGUUCCUCUGUACGUCACUUCGAAAACAGUUGGAUCAUUGUCCGAUCUCUGGACCUGCUUCGUUGCCCAACAGUUCUGUGUGCUACGGUGCGUGCAUCUGUAGUAACUCCUGUAUUUCAAACCAAUCGAGUUAACAUCAUGAUGAUGAUGGUGAACUGUUGUAGAUGAUGUAUUAAUGAUGAUGGUGAUGAUGUUACCUGGGGAACUUGGCGCCCAAAAUGUCUUUUUGACCAUACUUUCUCC
rnacentral:lncRNA from 1 species